GUGUGUGUGUGUAUGCGUGUGUCAGUCAGAGAGAGGGUAUACAGUAUAAAGCUCUUAAGCCAUGUAAAAUAAUGUUACCAUACAGGAUAGGUAUAUCACCUCAAUACUUUAUUAAAUAAUAAACAUCAUCAUAAUGAAACAAGGAAACUAAAAAUUGCAUUCUAACACAUGACAAACAAGUUCCAUAGUUUUCAUGUUGAAGAUAUCCCUAACAACAGUACUAGAAAUACAUGUGGUGGCUUUACAAAAGUCACUCUGGGCUCACUUCAUUUUUAGUUUCUUCCAAUGCCAUUGUCAGUGCCCAUGGGCAGGUAACCAUGGAAACCUGGGGUAAGGGUGGCAUCGACCAUGAGAGACUGAAAGAUUACAGGUCUGUGAGAGACUGAAGGAUUACAGGUCUGUGAGAGACUGAAGGAUUACAGGUCUGUGAGAGACUGAAGGAUUACAGGUCUGUGAGAGACUGAAGGAUUACAGGUUUGUGAGAGACUGAAGGAUUACAGGUCUGUGAGAGACUGAAGGAUUACAGGUCUGUGAGAGACUGAAGGAUUACAGGUCUGUGAGAGACUGAAGGAUUACAGGUCUGUGAGAGACUGAAGGAUUACAGGUCUGUGAGAGACUGAAGGAUUACAGGUCUGUGAGAGACUGAAGGAUUACAGGUCUGUGAGAGACUGAGUCAAGUCUUUUUGUUUAGGUUUUGUUCUAAGGCUAUUUUCCUUUCAUAGAUUAUCAAACGGAAGUAUAAUGCAGCCUUGGAAAUAAUCUGAGACGUCGAUAAAAUGCAGUGCUGCUGGUUAACACGUACAGUCACUGAGGGUGAGGACCAGAGCUGCUUGUUCAGGACUGCCAGUGACUAUCCGAUCUCUACAAUGACUUCCUUUGUGCCCCAAUUCAUCACAUUGUUGCAUUGAUGAGGCUUUACCAUUGAUCCCGUUUUUUUAUUUUCUUAUUUAACUAGACAAGUCAGUUAAGAACAAAUUCUUAUUUACAACGACGGCCUGCCCCGGUCAAACCCAGACGACAAAGGGCCAAUUUUGAAAUGGCCCUAUUGGACUACCAAUCACAGCCGGUGUGAUUCAACCUGGAUUCAAACCAGGGACUGUAGUGACACCUCUUGCACUGAGAUGCAGUGCCUUAGACCACUGCGCCUCUCGGGAGCCCAUUGAUGAGGCUUCACCAUUGAUUCAUCAUUUAAUAUACACACGGCAGCCUUUACAACAUGGCCAUGCUUUUGUCUCUGUGAUGUCGCCGUGAGAAGAUUUACCCAGCCCCUGUUUCACAAGAUCCUCAGAGGAAGAUUUACCCAGCCCCUGUUUAACAAGAUCCUCAUCAAAGGAAGUGAGACAAGCACGAAUUUGAGACAAUUCCUUCCUAUAGAAGGCUAGGCAUGCAUCCCAAAUGGCACCCUAUUCCCCAUAGUGUCAUGGUCAAAAGUAGUGCACUAUAUAGGGAAUAGGGUUCCAUAGGGCUCUGGUCUAAAGUAGUGCACAAUAUAGGGAAUAGGGUUCCAUAGGGCUCUGGUCAAAAGUAGUGCACUAUAUAGGGAAUAGGGUUCUAUAGGGCUCUGGUCAAAAGUAGUGCACAAUAUAGGGAAUAGGGUUCCAUAGGGCUCUGGUCAAAAGUAGUGCACAAUAUAGGGAAUAGAGUGCCAUUUAGGAUACAUACCCAGCCUCUUAAACUCAUCAUCCUCCCUCCUGACCCAUCUAACUAUCACAAUGACACCAAUUAUAGCAGAACUUUUAUCACAUCUACCAUGUUGAGACGGUGUGGUGUCAAUAGCUGUGUCUGGGUUCUAGUCAGAGCACUGAGACAUAGCUGAGACAUUGCUGAGACAUAGCGGUGGUGGAAACAUGUGACAAACUAGGUCAUCAUUUCUCACAUGAUUUCAGACGCUUCAGGAUGUUAAAGACAAAGGUUCAUCAAAACAAAAUGAGAGUACCGGUACUGUAGAUUCUCUGUCAUUCAGUAAGAUAACAUCCACAAUGACAAUAAUACUUUAAAGUUGCAGUUAUAAUUAUAACAGUCCUCAUGACAUAAUUACAAACUAAUAGUGUUUGACAUGAGAUCUUCUACCGCGACUAGGGAUGAACUGAUUUAAGUUAAGGAAAUAAAAUGCAAUAGAAAACACAUCAACGUUGUGCUGAUCAAAACAAAAUGAAGCUUAGAUUUGAUCAGGUCAAAGCGUUGCCCGGCGAUAGCAGACACCCGCAUAGAGGAUGUUUUGGAGGUGUCGGAGGUGGAACUGCGUUGGAGCUGUCAAAUCGCUGAGCAGCUGCUCUUGCGAAGCCACAUCAGCCCCACUCACUUUAGAAUUUCAGAACGAGAAAAGUAUAGGCUAUAUAGAAAUAAUUACACAGAGUGGCGCAGCGGUCUAAGGCACCGCAUCUCAGUGCUAGAGGCGUCACUACAGACCCUGGUUCGAUUCCAGGCUGUAUCACAACUGGUUGUGAUUGGGAGUCCCAUAGGGUGGCGCACAAUUGGCCCAGCAUUGACCUGGUUUGGCCUAGUUAAAUAAAGGUAAAAUAAAUAAAAUAUAAAUAAUGAAGGUUUCUAUCAUCCUAAUGGAGGAGUAGAUUACAUCUAUCAUCUAUCAUCCUAAUGGAGGUGUAGAUUACAUCUAUCAUCUAUCAUCCUAAUGGAGGUGUAGAUUACAUCUAUCAUCUAUCAUCCUAACUGAGGUGUAGAUUACAUCUAUCAUCCUAAUAGAGGAGUAGAUUACAUCUAUCAUCUAUCAUCCUAAUGGAGGUGUAGAUUACAUCUAUCAUCUAUCAUCCUAAUUGAGGUGUAGAUUACAUCUAUCAUCUAUCAUCCUAACUGAGGUGUAGAUUACAUCUCACAUUUCUGUGUUCCAACAAGGCCACAUUUGUGUUAAUGCGACUCCGUGCAAACAAUGGCAAUGUCCUCUUUAGGUAUAAUGCCGGGAGCCAUUUGUGUAUUUGACAGCACUAACGCAGUUCCACCGUCAAAACACCCGCUAUGCAGAUGUUGGCUGAAGCUGAUCUGACUGAAUAGAGCACCUAGUCUAUCUAUCUGGCAUGCACACCACCACUGUAGCUAGACAUGACGUGUGGGUUUUUAAAAACGUUUUCCUGUCGUCGGUUCAUUUGGUCACACAGCAACAUAUUUACACCGUACACUUUUCUUCUUCCUUUAAAAGGGAUAGUUCAAACCAAUUUGUCAUUUUGUAACUUGAACUAUAACUUUAAGUCUGCACUUUAGACAGACUGUUAUAGGUGUGUCCAUACAUACUGUAGCAGCAAAAACACAACUCACAGAGCACUGGUGACAUAGACUUCCUUCACCUCAUAUCCCCCAAAACCAAAGCUCACGUUAGGCCAAACUAAGGUCUGCCCCAGCUCAAAUAUUCUGGAAGGUACAAUAGUCUUCACUUGAAUUCCAUUUCCCAUUCAUGUAAUUCAUAGAAUAGACGUAGGGUCCAAGUCUCCUGUUUUCUUCCUGGUUGAGGCUCCAUAUUAAGUCCAUUUGUAGUGAAGGAGUUCAACCGAGUUCCAGGGUACUAAUGAGGUGUUUGAUUGGACAGAUAGUCACAGUUUCUGUUGAGUAGUAUGAUAUGAUUGGUUGAAAACAGAGUGAAAGGUCCCGUUUAGGAAUAAGAUUGGAGGAACAGUGAAUUGAUCCCACUCAAGAUUUUGUUUGGGUCGGUGGAGGUAAAUUAGAUAAGGGGUGAUCUUCUGAAGGUGAGGGUGGACAGGGUUAUGAUCCAGCUCAAGGUUUUGUUUGGGUCGGUGGAGGUAAAUUAGAUAAGGGGUGAUCUUCUGAAGGUGAGGGUGGACAGGGUUAUGAUCCAGCUCAAGGUUUUGUUUGGGUCGGUGGAGGUAAAUUAGAUAAGGGGUGAUCUUCUGAAGGUGAGGGUGGACAGGGUUAUGAUCCAGCUCAAGGUUUUGUUUGGGUCGGUGGAGGUAAAUUAGAUAAGGGGUGAUCUUCUGAAGGUGAGGGUGGACAGGGUCAAGGUGGCAGUCACAUUAUAAUGACAUAAUAACAGAAUUAAACUGAAGCGUCUACAGGGCCUAUGUGUCUCACCUCUAUAACUCCAUAAACUACCGCCACUCAGUGAGCUUGUGGUUGUCAUGCACAACAGGGUAGUCCCAUAGCUGUAAACUGUACGGGACGGAUCGGGAUUUGACUCUAAGGUCAUACACGGUCAUGAAACAUCAUUUUACGAUUUCCCUGAAAGAUGCAAUAAUAUAACAUUAGAAGUACAGGAUUUAACUAGAAGUCUCCUGGUGGAAGAAAAACUCUUCCAAUACUAUGAUCCACAUGUAAUCCCUAUCACCCCUACAGACAGUAUACAACCUAAUCCCUAUCACCCCUACAGACAGUAUAGUAUACAACCUAAUCCCCAUCACCCCUACAGACAGUAUAGUAUACAACCUAAUCCCC
rnacentral:lncRNA from 1 species